GGUUCAAGAACCAUUCUUGUGCUUUUCUGGUGCUUAACUGGUUCUUCUCUGGUCUUAUCUGGUCCGCCCAAUGCUGCUCUUCUGAGAGCAACCGCUCUGACAGCUCUCUCUAGUCUCUACUGGGAAACAGCUAAAAGUCCUUCUGGAGGCUUUGCAUUUGAACUCCUAUGACUGGUUGCGGACUUGAAGGGAACGUCUUCCUGACAUCCAGGAAAAAGUUUUAUUGGACAGAGGCAGUAGAGAUCUACUGGAAACAGUGGAGAGGGAGGAGAUGAUAUGCAGC